AGCAGCCGCGGUAAUUCCAGCUCCAAUAGCGUAUAUUAAAGUUGUUGCAGUUAAAAAGACUCGUAGUUGAAUUCGGGGUUCGAUACGUUGGUCGGGCUUUUUGGUUCUGUACUAGCGUAAUGGAUUCCUACCUUCUGAAUAACCGGCAUGCCAUUAAAUUUGGUGCGCCGGGGGAAGCAGGACUGUUACCUUGAAAAAA
rnacentral:rRNA from 1 species